GACGAACGCUGGCGGCGUGCCUAAUACAUGCAAGUAGAACGCUGAAGGAGGAGCUUGCUUCUCUGGAUGAGUUGCGAACGGGUGAGUAACGCGUAGGUAACCUGCCUGGUAGCGGGGGAGAACUCUUGGAAACGAUAGCUAAUACCGCAUAAGAGUAGAUGUCGCAUGACAUUUGCUUAAAAGGUGCAAUUGCAUCACUACCAGAUGGACCUGCGUUGUAUUAGCUAGUUGGUGAGGUAACGGCUCACCAAGGCAACGAUACAUAGCCGACCUGAGAGGGGGAUCGGCCACACUGGGACUGAGACACGGCCCAGACUCCUACGGGGGGGAGCAGUAGGGGAUCUUCGGCAAUGGACGGAAGUCUGACCGGGCAACGCCGCGUGAGUGAAGAAGGUUUUCGGAUCGUAAAGCUCUGUUGUAAGGGAAGAACGAGUGUGGGAGUGGAAAGUUCACACUGUGACGGUAUCUUACCAGAAAGGGACGGCUAACUACGUG
rnacentral:rRNA from 1 species